AUAACAUAUAACAUAAGUUGAAUUUUAUGAUUCAAUUACGUGUUUUGAAAACAUGUCUAUACGCAUCAGCUCAAGGAGAUGGAAAUCAUUUACUCGACAAGAGAACGAUUUUAAUAUUUCGCUCAAGAAACAUUCAGGCGUAAGAUUUUGCUGUGUGAUUCUCAAACCAUAUCAGAUCUUCAAGAAAAGAAGGAUUAAUUUACUACAGUAUUCAUGUCUAAAGUGGAGAGCAGUUACGCGAAGCUUCCUGUUUUUUUAAUGCAAUGUAUCUGUAGUUGAAUGGAGACAUGGGCAAUGCACUAAAGGAAACCGUUACACCGUGAAGUCGAAGCAGCUGGCAAAUAAAUCACUGAGAGAAUAGUGAGGGGAGCUUUCAAAGUUUGACUAUGAAGUUAAAAGCUGUGAGCGCGAAGAGUGAAUAUGGACUAAUUUUUGACGCUAUGAUUAUAAUCAUUGAAAAGUUUAUGAGCAUGGGGCCACGAGAUCUCAAAAAAGGUUCUUAAGCACUAAUCAAAGAGCUUAGAGCACCUGAAGCCGUUUAGAAGUUUAAAAAGUGCACAAUGAACUUACAAUAAGAUCUAAAUUUAAAUGAGUAAAAUAUUUUCUGUGUAGUGCAUUACCUGAAUAAAAAGUUUUGAGACUGCC